CCCCCGUGCUCCAGUGGCUUCCCAUCUCAUUUACUCUGCAUCUCAGCGGGACAGGGCAAGGCUGGUGUGAUGCCUGAUCUCAGCUGUCAACUUGAUGAGAUGGAGACCCAUCCGUUGAGAUAUUUUAUGUGUUUGAGUGCUUUGCCUUUGUGGUAUGCAUGGAGUGCCCAAGAAGACCAGAAGAGGGUGUGAGACCCCCCUGCAGCUGGAGCUGUGAGCCUCCCCAGGUCUAGGAAUUCCUGAAUUAAACAGGUGACCCAACCAGCUGCAGGAGCAGUCAAGACGAGGACCUCCAAGAGAAGCUAGACAACUUCCACCGGAACUCAGCCUGGAGUCUGGGGGGAAGGGUUUGCCCAAAUUGUUAAAAGGUCUGGCGCCAUUAAAGUUUGGGGCUUUGAUCAGUGAAUAUUGUCUUAGCCAUACUUCUUUUCGCCCCUCUUCCCUAUUUAUUCCUCAGCUUCUGUUCCAGAAACCCACUUCGUAAUAGCUGCAGGAAGCUAUGGAACCCUACAACCCAGAGGGCUCCUUCAGUCAGGUUGUCGGAGAUGUUUAUCACUGACUGACAAAGGUUUAGGGCCGAUGGGAGGAGUGGAGCUAAGAGUAUUGAUAAGGCGGGCUUCUCCAGGUGGGAGAGAGCAGCACCCAGCAAUUAUGCCAAGAAGGCACACUGAAAAUAAACAACUGCACAUGUGUCUUUUAUUCAUGGAUUCAAGGGAAGCCAGGAUGGAGCUGGUAGUGUGGGGCAGCUAAAGGCUAUACACAACACUAUGACCCUGUCUGGAUGUAGCAGCACACGACUGUAAUUCCAGUGCUCAAAGAGUGGAGGCAAGAGGGUGAGGAGUUCAAGGCCAGCCUCAGCUAGAUAGCAAGUACAAAGGGCAUAGCCUGGGCGUCAGAAGACUAAUAGCUCAAAACACA